rnacentral:rRNA from 1 species
UGGUCAAGUUAUUAAGGGUGCAGGGCGGAUGCCUUGGCACUAGGAGCCGAUGAAGGACGUGAUAAGCUGCGAUAAGCUUCGGGGAGUUGCACGUAAACUUUGAUCCGAAGAUUUCCGAAUGAGGAAACUCACUUAGAGUAAUGUCUAAGUAUCAUUAAGUGAAUACAUAGCUUAAUGAGGGGAACUCAGGGAACUGAAACAUCUAAGUACCUGAAGGAAGAGAAAGAAAUUCGAUUCCGUAAGUAGCGGCGAGCGAACGCGGAUUAGCCCAAACCAAUAAAGUUUUCUUUAUUGGGGUUGCGGACAUAUCAUAACGAAGAGGUAUCGUAAUUGAAGAGGUUUGGAAAGACCCACCACAGAAGGUAAUAGUCCUGUAUGUUAAACGAGAAGACUUUAGAUAUGAUCCAGAGUACCACGGGACACGUGAAACCCUGUGGGAAGCAGGAGGGACCACCCUCCAAGGCUAAAUACUACCUAGUGACCGAUAGCGUAUAGUACCGUGAGGGAAAGGUGAAAAGAACCCCGGGAGGGGAGUGAAAUAGAACCUGAAACCCUGUACUUACAAGCUGUGGAAGCACAUUUCUUGUGUGACCGCGUACUUUUUGUAGAACGGGCCAACGAGUUACGUUAAGUAGCAAGGUUAAGCACUUAAGGUGUGGAGCCGUAGCGAAAGCGAGUUUUAACUGAGCGUUCAGUUACUUGACGUAGACCCGAAACCGGGCGACCUACCCAUGAGCAGGAUGAAGCGAAAGUAAAAUUUCGUGGAGGUCCGAACCCACGAGCGUUGAAAAGCUCGGGGAUGACUUGUGGGUAGCGGUGAAAUUCCAAUCGAGCCCGGAGAUAGCUGGUUCU